GCACCGUUAGUCCAGUGGUAGGAUAUCGCCUUCCCAUCAUUACAGAGAAGAAGGCGGGGGUCACGGUUUCGAUCACCGUACGGUGCA